GAUGAACGCUGGCGGUCUGCUUAACACAUGCAAGUCGAACGAACUCUUCGGAGUGAGUGGCGGACGGGUGAGUAACGCGUGAGAAUCUGCCUGUGGGUCGGGGACAACCACUGGAAACGGUGGCUAAUACCGGAUGAGCCGAAAGGUAAAGAUUUAUUGCCCACAGAUGAGCUCGCGUCUGAUUAGCUAGUUGGUAAGGUAAAAGCGUACCAAGGCGACGAUCAGUAGCUGGUCUGAGAGGAUGAGCAGCCACACUGGGACUGAGACACGGCCCAAACUCCUACGGGAGGCAGCAGUGGGGAUAUUGCACAAUGGAGGAAACUCUGAUGCAGCAACGCCGCGUGAAGGAAGACGGUUUCGGAUUGUAAACUUCUAUCAGCAGGGAGAAAAUGACGGUACCUGACU
rnacentral:rRNA from 1 species